AACGAACGCUGGCGGCAUGCCUAACACAUGCAAGUCGAACGAGACCUUCGGGUCUAGUGGCGCACGGGUGCGUAACGCGUGGGAAUCUGCCCUAGGGUGCGGAAUAACUCGGAGAAAUCCGUGCUAAUACCGCAUAAUGUCUUCGGACCAAAGAUUUAUCGCCCUGGGAUGAGCCCGCGUAGGAUUAGCUAGUUGGUGGGGGUAAAGGCCUACCCAAGGCGACGAUCCUUAGCUGGUCUGAGAGGAUGAUCAGCCACACUGGGACUGAGACACGGCCCAGACUCCUACGGGAGGCAGCAGUGGGGAAUAUUGGACAAUGGGCGAAAGCCUGAUCCAGCAAUGCCGCGUGAGUGAUGAAGGCCCCAGGGUUGUAAAAGCUCUUUUACCCGGGAUGAUAAUGACAGUACCGGGAGAAUAAGCUCCGGCUAACUCCGUGCCAGCAGCCGCGGUAAUACGGAGGGAGCUAGCGUUGUUCGGAAUUACUGGGCGUAAAGCGCGCGUAGGCGGUCCAUCAAGUCAGAGGUGAAAGCCCGGGGCUCAACCCCGGAACUGCCUUUGAAACUGGCGGACUAGAAUCUUGGAGAGGCGAGUGGAAUUCCGAGUGUAGAGGUGAAAUUCGUAGAUAUUCGGAAGAACACCAG
rnacentral:rRNA from 1 species